UAAGGAAUAUUGGUCAAUGGACGCAAGUCUGAACCAGCCAUGCCGCGUGGAGGAUUAAGGCCCUCUGGGUUGUAAACUCCUUUUAUCUGGGAAGAAAUGUACUUUUUCUUGAGUACUUGACGGUACCAGAGGAAUAAGCACCGGCUAACUCCGUGCCAGCAGCCGCGGUAAUACGGAGGGUGCAAGCGUUAUCCGGAUUCACUGGGUUUAAAGGGUGCGUAGGCGGAUAGGUAAGUCCGUGGUGAAAUCUCUCGACUUAAUCGGGAAACUGCCAUGGAUACUAUUUAUCUUGAAUGUUGUGGAGGUUAACGGAAUAUGUCAUGUAGCGGUGAAAUGCUUAGAUAUGACAUGGAACACCAAUUGCGAAGGCAGUUAACUACACAAAUAUUGACGCUGAUGCACGAAAGCGUGGGGAUCAAACA
rnacentral:rRNA from 1 species